rnacentral:rRNA from 1 species
GAUGAACGCUGGCGGCGUGCCUAAUACAUGCAAGUCGAGCGAACGGACGAGAAGCUUGCUUCUCUGAUGUUAGCGGCGGACGGGUGAGUAACACGUGGAUAACCUACCUAUAAGACUGGGAAAACUUCGGGAAACCGUAGCUAAUACCGGAUAAUAUUUUGAACCGCAUGGUUCAAAAGUGAAAGACGGUCUUGCUGUCACUUAUAGAUGGAUCCGCGCUGCAUUAGCUAGUUGGUAAGGUAACGGCUUACCAAGGCAACGAUGCAUAGCCGACCUGAGAGGGUGAUCGGCCACACUGGAACUGAGACACGGUCCAGACUCCUACGGGAGGCAGCAGUAGGGAAUCUUCCGCAAUGGGCGAAAGCCUGACGGAGCAACGCCGCGUGAGUGAUGAAGGUCUUCGGAUCGUAAAACUCUGUUAUUAGGGAAGAACAUAUGUGUAAGUAACUGUGCACAUCUUGACGGUACCUAAUCAGAAAGCCACGGCUAACUACGUG